rnacentral:rRNA from 1 species
UACAGAGGGUGCGAGCGUUAAUCGGAAUUCCUGGGCGUAAAGCGCGCGUAGGCGGCUUUGCAAGUCGGGUGUGAAAUCCCCAGGCUUAACCUGGGAACUGCAUUCGAGACUGCAUUGCUAGAGUAUGGGAGAGGGAAGUGGAAUUUCCAGUGUAGCGGUGAAAUGCGUAGAUAUCGGAAGGAACAUCAGUGGCGAAAGCGACUUCCUGGACCAAUACUGACGCUCAUGUGCGAAAGCGUGGGGAGCAAACAGG